rnacentral:lncRNA from 12 species
UAGCCUUUUAGUAGAUCCUGUGGUGGUCAGAGUCAUCUGUAAUCACCUAUGUCUCUAAUUCUGAGGCUUUCUUCAGCAGCCCAAAGAAGGACUGAUCUACCUUCUUUUCCAGACCAAGUUAUCUGCAGGAGUAUCUCCUACACUGCCUGUGCAGGUAAGGCAGCUGAAAUCAGAGCUGUGGAGAUGGGC